UACGAACUGUGCGAACGUUAUUCGGAAUCACUGGGCUUACAGGGUGCGUAGGCGGCUUAGCAAGUCAGGUGUGAAAGCCCCCGGCUCAACCGGGGAACUGCGCUUGAAACUGCUGAGCUCGAGUCAGCUAGAGGUACACGGAACUUUCAGUGGAGCGGUGAAAUGUGUUGAUAUUGGAAGGAACACCGGAGGCGAAAGCGGUGUACUGGGGCUGGUCUGACGCUGAGGCACGAAAGCCAGGGGAGCGAACGGG
rnacentral:rRNA from 1 species